rnacentral:rRNA from 1 species
UUAAAUUGAAGAGUUUGAUCAUGGCUCAGAUUGAACGCUGGCGGCAGGCCUAACACAUGCAAGUCGAACGGUAACAGGAAACAGCUUGCUGUUUCGCUGACGAGUGGCGGACGGGUGAGUAAUGUCUGGGAAACUGCCYGAUGGAGGGGGAUAACUACUGGAAACGGUAGCUAAUACCGCAUAACGUCGCAAGACCAAAGAGGGGGACCUUMGGGCCUCUUGCCAUCGGAUGUGCCCAGAUGGGAUUAGCUAGUAGGUGGGGUAA